UGUGACAUUUGGGUUAUUUCUGUAACGAGCUGCCGGUGACAAUGAUGAUGAUGGUGGUGAUGGUGGUGGUGGCUGUGAGUAUUUACUGAGCCUGUGGAUUAUCUCUUUUAUUCCCUCUGACAGCCUAGGAGGAAAAGUGUUGUUAUAGUCCUUAUUUUACAGAUAAAGAAACUGUCAGCUCAUCAUUGGCAGUCUGUCUCACUGACCUUUACCCUUUACCUUUCCACCCCAGGUACCAGGCUCUGUGGGAGUCUUCUCUGAACUCCAGCCACACUGCCCUCUACUUGAUGAGUACUAGGUGGUCAGACCCUCAGAAGCAACCACAAAAGAGCUUCCCCAGAAGAAGCAAGGUCAUAAUCUCAGACACCUCCAGAAGCCGCCCAUGGUCCUAUCAACAAAUCGUUCAAACUGGAGGAGGCAAUAGAAGUGGUGUUUGGAAAUGUCUCCCCGUGCCCUUCUGGCAGUCAACCUGCUCCCCUGAGCUUCCCACCAGUUCAGUGUGAGUCAGUGUUGUGGAUAAGCUACCUCACUCUUCAUUACCAUUUCCUUGCAGACUGGUCUGAAGCCAUUGUGGAGUAAAGGAAAUAAAAAGCAUUAACUAUGAAGCAAAAUUUGCUCCAAAGGAAAGUUAAAAAUGUUUACAAAGUACAUCUAGCCCCUCACAAAUUUUUAUAAAGAUUAAAUUGGCUGCUCUCAGAAAAGUUUACUGUGAGACCCACUGCCUUGGUUUUCCCCAUCUACAAAAUGGGAACAACACCAUGAUCUUUUUUGGUGCCUCUUGAGGACAAGGGGGAUGGAAGUCAGGUCUAUCUUCGGCUGAGAAGACAAGCUUUGCAGAGAGUCUUCUCCUUAUAGCCCUUUCUCUUCAGCUUCCUUUGAAAGCCCUGCCCACUUCUCCUGAGCCCGCAGAUCUGCAGCUGUUGCCUGAGAGUGAGAGGACAAAGCAAUAACAUCAGCUAGGUGGUGUGCUUGCUGCUUUGUCUAAAGAGCACUGUAUCGCCAGCCAGCCUGGGUUUUGUUUUCUUUCUAAGAAUGAAGAAUGGAAGGAGGAUGGAAGGAACAGAACUCCUGGACCCUGAAACAGGAAACUCUUCAUCCUCUUGCCAUCUGUGCUUAAAAGACCCAUGAAAGCAUGUCUGUAGAAGCAUUGCGUGAAACGAGAGCUAAGAGGUACUUACAGGUUCUGUGACGUCAGCUGUGCCUUAUCGGUAUGUCUUUAAAAAAUACACAAGUGCAGGAGAGAAUUCCCCAGCAAUCAUGCCCACCACCCAUCCCAAGUUUUUUCAGCCCAGACUUAAAACAGCAGGUCAGUGAUUAGGUGGGCUUCCUUUGGUGAAGAGAAAGCACGCCCCCAUGACAUUCAGCUGAGUUCCAAGGUUGCUUUGGCUGAGUCUGAUGUUGAGUGACUAGAAGAGUGACCAGUUUCUGGAAUUUUUUGUAGAAUGAAGGAGGCUGGACAUCCUGUGUUGUGUCCAGAAAAUGGAUGGAGAAGCUCAGUGUGGUACCUGCCGGUCAGUAGGGCUUUGUGCCUUAUGACGAGGUAUUCUGAGUUGGUUGCAGCCUGGCUAUGGACAAAGACACACAUUGUCUGAUUUUGAGGCUCCCAUAUUAGCAGUAAGGAAACUGAGGCAUGGGGUGAAUGGAAGCAUGUGGACAUAUUCUAAGGCUGUUGAAUGCAGGAGCCACAUCUUCAUAUCCGUGCUGAUGUCCACCUUCCACCACAUUGACAUUCAUAUGGGGAAGGGGUCCUUGGUCUUUCUAUGUCCUAGAUGGACCUCUUCUCAUAAUAUCAUCUUUAAAUACUUAUGUUAAGAUACCUAGGAUCUUAAAAGUGCUUUAUCUGAAGUGUCAGGGAUAUUUGUCUAAGUAUUACUUAUUCCAUUUCAUCCGUAAGUUAUUACACAUAGAAUUUUUUUAAACAGUGUUACCAAGGAAGGUGCAUGGACCCCCUGAAUUCUCCCCUCUGCCUUGGUCCAUCCCACCUUCCUGUUCCUCUGAAUAACUCCCUACCCCAAGCAUGUGAGCCCAUUCAUUUGCAGGAAAGCUGCUCCUGCCCCCAGGACUCAGAGGCAUUUUUUGAAGUGUGCUGCAAAUGGCCAGAGUCCCAGAGGAAUUCACUAGCUCCAGUUGAUCUUGGGCUUGUUUAGGAGCUAACAGAGGUGGGUCCUUGAGCUCCUCCAAUAAUGACAUUCUGUAAAAGUCAUGUCAAUGGUGUGCCUAGGUCUAGAGUCUGGGGAGCGCACCUUCCAGGAGACAACUACUCCCAGCCACCAGAAACUGUCAGAAAGAUUUAGACUUGUGAUUUGUCCUUCACUUUUGCUAGUGAUCUCUAAAUAAUGGCUGAGUAAUCUCCUAACAGACUGUGAACAUGACAUUGCAGCGAGCCAUCGCAGGUGGGUGAGCACAGGUGUGAGUGUGUGCACCAGUAUUUCCCCCAACUCAGGGCUGUGAGUGCAGGA